rnacentral:lncRNA from 1 species
UGUAAUUCUUCCCUUUUCUGAAUGGGAGUUUCUCCCAUUCAGUUGUAGUUAUGUUCUAGGCUGGUAAUUUGUCUAUUGUCUUAUGGUCCCCAGAAUGCAGAACUUCAUCUGGACCUGUUGGAGAGAACUACCACCCAGAACUCCUGAGCUUCCAUCUGAGGCUGUAAUAAAUGAGGCCAUAAUUAUCUUCCCUGACAUUCAGAAAGAAUCCCAAGGGAAUUGUAUAUGGCAAGAAAGCAUAUACAUGGAUAUUUAGGAGGCCAGAGUGGCAAAUUACUAGCUGCCCCCAAAUAUUUUUAUCAGCAUCCAACUAGAAACUUCAUUUUCCAGCCUCCAGUAGAAUAUGAAAAAGCUGAGGCUUAAAAGCACAAAGUUACUCCAAAGGAGAGGGAUGAUAGAGUUAAUCGUCUAAACCAGGACACAUCUGAGCAUGAAAGGAGGCAGUCACUGCACAGGAUGCUAGAACAAACGGAAGUGAUUUGCAAUUCCUGGAUGACACCUGAAUUUUACCAAAAGGUUUCAAGGCAACCCUUUAGAAAGUGACCUUUUGCUUUCC